GGGCGGUUAGCUCAGCGGUAGAGCACUGGUUUUACACACCAAUGGUCGGGAGUUCGAUCCUCUCACCGCCCACCA
rnacentral:tRNA from 1 species